CUGCGUAAGCCCACGCCGGUCGAAGAUACCAGGCCGCUGCGACUGUUUAUUAAAAACACAGCACUCUGCAAACACGAAAGUGGACGUAUAGGGUGUGACGCCUGCCCGGUGCCGGAAGGUUAAUUGAUGGGGUUAGCUAACGCGAAGCUCUUGAUCGAAGCCCCGGUAAACGGCGGCCGUAACUAUAACGGUCCUAAGGUAGCGAAAUUCCUUGUCGGGUAAGUUCCGACCUGCACGAAUGGCGUAACGAUGGCGGCGCUGUCUCCACCCGAGACUCAGUGAAAUUGAAAUCGCUGUGAAGAUGCAGUGUAUCCGCGGCUAGACGGAAAGACCCCGUGAACCUUUACUAUAGCUUUGCACUGGACUUUGAAUUUGCUUGUGUAGGAUAGGUGGGAGGCUUUGAAGCGUGGACGCCAGUUCGCGUGGAGCCAUCCUUGAAAUACCACCCUGGCAACUUUGAGGUUCUAACUCAGGUCCGUUAUCCGGAUCGAGGACAGUGUAUGGUGGGUAGUUUGACUGGGGCGGUCUCCUCCUAAAGAGUAACGGAGGAGUACGAAGGUGCGCUCAGACCGGUCGGAAAUCGGUCGUAGAGUAUAAAGGCAAAAGCGCGCUUGACUGCGAGACAGACACGUCGAGCAGGUACGAAAGUAGGUCUUAGUGAUCCGGUGGUUCUGUAUGGAAGGGCCAUCGCUCAACGGAUAAAAGGUACUCCGGGGAUAACAGGCUGAUACCGCCCAAGAGUUCAUAUCGACGGCGGUGUUUGGCACCUCGAUGUCGGCUCAUCACAUCCUGGGGCUGAAGCCGGUCCCAAGGGUAUGGCUGUUCGCCAUUUAAAGUGGUACGCGAGCUGGGUUUAGAACGUCGUGAGACAGUUCGGUCCCUAUCUGCCGUGGACGUUUGAGAUUUGAGAGGGGCUGCUCCUAGUACGAGAGGACCGGAGUGGACGAACCUCUGGUGUUCCGGUUGUCACGCCAGUGGCAUUGCCGGGUAGCUAUGUUCGGAAUAGAUAACCGCUGAAAGCAUCUAAGCGGGAAACUAGCCUCAAGAUGAGAUCUCACUGG
rnacentral:rRNA from 1 species